rnacentral:lncRNA from 1 species
AAGAUUAGGGCAAAUUACACUCACCUACCCUGAGGUCCUUUCAUAUAACACUAAUACCGUUUUUUACUAGACACUCACCCCCCGUCUCCUUAACACCGUUAGAAUCCUAGUUAACUUACGUUUGUGCACCAAAGACCAACUCCAACACCAACCAAAAGCAUCACCAAUAUCAAAUAGAGAAUGCUCAUGAGAAAACACCUUCAUAAUAACGUCCGUAGAUGAUUUUGGAUGCUAGUCGAAAAUAGGAUUUUCUUAUUAC